GUACUGCUGAAGUGUCCCAAACAGGACGAAACAGCUGUCCAGUGC
rnacentral:hammerhead_ribozyme from 1 species